CGCUCCACUCCACUAGUUUUUUCCAUUCCCUGUGUCCCCUUUUCAGAUCUCCCUUUCCCUCUCCAAGAAAAGAAACCAUCAAAGAAUACGCAACGAGAUAGGGGGGAGUGGCUACUAUCAAUCUCCAUGGGCGCCUAUGAGGCCACCAAGGUGGUUUUUGCCCGGUUGCAAGCGCUUGAGCCCAAUCUUGCUCCAAACAUCAUUGGCAUGCUCCUCACCAAGGAUAAAAAUGAGAUGGACAUGAUUCAUCUCGCAUGUGGCCCUGACAACCUCCUCCAAUCUAUCAUUGCCAAGGUGCGCACCGACCUCACCAACAAGCCUUCCCCUCCUAUGGCCUCCUGGGGCUUCCCGUCCGAUAUAGGUGAGGAGGCAUCUUUCUCCAUUGACAAGGUGGGGUGUGAUGGAGGUGAAGAGUUCUCCUCUAAGGAGUAUGAUUGGAAGUUACCAAUCGGUGGCAAUCACCAUCGGAGCUUUUUGUCAAGCACCGUCAACACCCCUGGGUGGAAGCCAUGUCUAUACUACCAAAGGUUCCAUCUUCAACCCUAUAAUAUCACAUUUCUUAGAUCCACACACUAAUCUCUAUUGUACCAGCGGAAUGACCACCCAUCUUGGUAGCGACGACAUGCAAGAGUACUCUUCUCGACCACCUCAGAUAGACCAAAGUGACCUAACCAACAACUGCAGUGCACGACAGAUCUACUUGACCUUCCCGCCUGAUUCCAUUUUCAGCAAAGAGGAUGUCUGCAACUACUUUAGGUAUCACAUGUUCCACCAUAGUGCCCCUAUUGAUGUGUCUUGUUUCAAUAUUGGAGCAUUUCAUAAUUUAAUGAAUGCAAUCUGUUUUGGCUUGUUUGUGUUGUGUGGGGACAACCAGCAUGUAUGGGAUGGUGCAAGAUGUGCGUAUCCCAUACCAGGAGAAGCGCAUGUUUGGUUUUGUCACCUUCGCCUACCAAAAGACAGUGAAGCUAAUUCUUGCCAAGGGCAACCCACAUUACAUCUGUGAUGCACGUGUUCUUGUCAAGCCAUACAAGGAGAAGGACAAGGUCCCCAACAAGUUCAGGCAUGUUAAUCAUUGCCUAAUUCCACUUUGUAUUUUUGCACAUAUAUUACCUUUUGUGAGUACUUCUAUUGUUUUUCUUAAAAAUUGCAUAAAGUCUAUUGAUUUUAUUAAAAUUGCAGAAAGUUUCAGCAAAGUGACUCUCCUAGCUACAUGAAUCACAAUAGAUUGCUUUAUUCUAGGGUGCCCUUUGACCUGCGACGACACCAAAUAGGGCCGAGAAUUUUGUAUAGGGACAUGGCUAGUCAUGAGGCAUCUUUUAGGAUGAAGCAAGAUGAACAACAACAUGCGACCGAGCUGCAACGUCGUUGCUUAAUGAGGCUUCCGCUUCUCAAUCUUCAGGAUUGGGGCCAUCAUCUCAGCUCUCCCAUGGGUUCACAUGUGCUUCUAGGACAAGUUGAUAACAAAUAUAAUAUUAAUGAGAAUGACAAUCCCAUUCAUUUGGAGGAUGUCACAUUUUGAGGUCUAGUUCUUGGUCGUUGUAAUGUCUUGUCUAUUAAUUAUGUUUUUUCGGAAAGUUUAUUAAUUAUGUUGUACUAAGGUUGUGACUUCUUGUUUUAUUUAUAGACAAUAAGCUGAAGAAUGAGUUUGCUAUGAGGGAAAUUGCCUCUACUGCAAUCUCCACAGAAGCCAAGCGCACGGUCAUCUCUACGGAAGAGGGGAAGAGAGAAUAUGGUCCCAAGGCAGCAACACCUAAUGAUGCUUGUGGAUUCCUGGAAAGUGGAAUGGAGUACAAUUUGCCUCAUAGCCCCUUCUCAUCUCCUACCAAGGCUUCCAAUGUUGCAGCAACAGCUCA